rnacentral:rRNA from 1 species
UACGUAGGGGGCAAGCGUUGUCCGGAUUUACUGGGCGUAAAGAGCGUGUAGGCGGCCAAGCAGGUCCGUUGUGAAAACUGGAGGCUUAACCUCCAGACGUCGACGGAAACCGCGCGGCUAGAGUCCGGAAGAGGAGAGUGGAAUUCCUGGUGUAGCGGUGAAAUGCGCAGAUAUCAGGAAGAACACCAAUGGCGAAGGCAGCUCUCUGGGACGGUACUGACGGCU